UGGGGAAUUUUGGACAAUGGGGGAAACCCUGAUCCAGCCAUCCCGCGUGUGCGAUGAAGGCCUUCGGGUUGUAAAGCACUUUUGGCAGGAAAGAAACGUCGCGGGUUAAUACCCCGCGAAACUGACGGUACCUGCAGAAUAAGCACCGGCUAACUACGUGCCAGCAGCCGCGGUAAUACGUAGGGUGCAAGCGUUAAUCGGAAUUACUGGGCGUAAAGCGUGCGCAGGCGGUUCGGAAAGAAAGAUGUGAAAUCCCAGAGCUUAACUUUGGAACUGCAUUUUUAACUACCGGGCUAGAGUGUGUCAGAGGGAGGUGGAAUUCCGCGUGUAGCAGUGAAAUGCGUAGAUAUGCGGAGGAACACCGAUGGCGAAGGCAGCCUCCUGGGAUAACACUGACGCUCAUGCACGAAAGCGUGGGGAGCAAACAGGAUUAGAUACCCUGGUAGUCCACGCCCUAAACGAUGUCAACUAGCUGUUGGGGCCUUCGGGCCUUGGUAGCGCAGCUAACGCGUGAAGUUGGACCGCCUGGGGAGUACGGUCGCAAGAUUAAAA
rnacentral:rRNA from 1 species